CGGGCCUCAUCUCGGACCUGCACACUGCCCCUCAUUAUGUUCAUGAUCGGCAGGAAAUGGAUAAAGAGUGGCCAGAAGGUGAAAAAGAAGAGAUGGCCCCCUGAAAGGGACAUCCACAUUUAUUUGAGCACCUACCAGGAUACCUGCUUUGGGAGCCUUCUGCUGCUGCGUGAGAUCCCUGGCUACCCUGGAGAGACAUCAGACAACAAGUGAGAUGCCCAAGAGCCCUAGCUGUCUUUGUCUUUGCAGCCCAAGCUCCAGACAUGUACUGAAGAAGCUUUAAGGAUAAAUUCAGUCCCAACUACUCCCUGGCUACAACUAUGAGACAGACCCUCCCAAGUCAGAACUGCCUAGCCAAGCUCAGGCAACUCCAAGAUUUAAG
rnacentral:lncRNA from 10 species